rnacentral:piRNA from 1 species
UCACUGAAGAGCUGCUUUCGAGACCC